AAAUAAGCUUAUUGUAUAAACAUCAUAUAAAAAUUAAACAUAGCAUUUACAAAACUAGUAGUAUAAGUCUACAAUACAUUACUGGAAACUCUUGGGACUACAUGUAUUUGGGUAUUUAAUUAUUUUCAGAUUUCAUAAAUGUAAUACUUACAUUAUAUAACAUACUCAGUAGGGUAAUGGCAAUACUAUGUAGCAAAAUGUUAAUGUUUUAUAGCAAAGCAUCACACCAAGUGGGAUUAAGAAAGAUAAACUUCAUUUUUGUUUGGGUCAGAUUCUACCAUUAGAUAGAUUUGCUGUGAACUAUUGAAGAAAUUGAAAUCUUUGGAUUUAGGAAUUGCAGAUAAGGGAUUGUGAACCUAUAAUCAUAUGUUUUUCUACAAGAAUUUAAUGCAAUAUUUCUCCAAAAUUUGUUUAUCUAGUGUAUUAUAUCUAGUCCGUUUCUUUGUAGUAGCUGUUGUUUUUAUUUCCAAUUGGAAGUUCUAACUCAUAAUUGAGGUUGUUGGGAAUGAUAGAACUAUUUAUUUGUGUAAUUAUAUCCUUCAUUGUUAUAUACAUCAAUUAGUUCAUAAUCACUAAUUACAUGUUUUUCCCAGUCCACAUGUGUGGCAAAACAAUGCUCAUGUUUACCAUACCAUUUCCUCUUCCUAAGUGCACAGGAAGACUAUAUUUCCCAGCAUCCACAGCCAUUACCUUUGGAGAACAUGACAUUGCCAGAUAAUAGAGUAUAGAUGAAAAUGAGGGGAGCCAUUUUGAAGACGAGCUCUGAAAAACAUCCCAUGUGACACUUCAACUCUCAUUUCCUUUCCCAUAGAAAUCCUGGAUACCAUGUGCUCCAGAUCAUUUGGUAUACAGGAUGGAGGAAGACUGACCUGUGAUCUUCCCUGCUCCAGGAUUUACUUCAGAGCACCAGGAUCUUUUUUGGCCCAGUCACAACAAAAGCCCAGGAGUACAGAAGAGUUAAUGCCCCCUGGAGCAACUCAGCUACAGGAUGGGGCUCGACAAGAAAUGUGUGGAGUAGCAACAUCCCCAUCAUCUCCACGGUGGGCAGACUUGGUUCUGUUUUCAGAACCAAGUGCAGGUGAGCCUGUGCAUGUGAGAGGGUUCAAAUGUCCAUGAUAGACAUACCUGAAGUGUGAAUUCCACUGAAAAAUUGAAGGGA